rnacentral:rRNA from 1 species
UACGUAGGGUGCAAGCGUUAAUCGGAAUUACUGGGCGUAAAGCGUGCGCAGGCGGCUUUGCAAGACAGAUGUGAAAUCCCCGGGCUUAACCUGGGAACUGCAUUUGUGACUGCAUGGCUCGAGUGCGGCAGAGGGGGAUGGAAUUCCGCGUGUAGCAGUGAAAUGCGUAGAUAUUGGGAAGAACACCCGUGGCGAAGGCGGUGUGCUGGGUUGCAACUGACGCUGAGAGUGGCGAAAGUGUGAGGAGAAACGGGAUUAAGAUGACCGUGUAGUCCCGUAGAAGCCAACGUCGUCUCGCUAC